CAAAGGUAUGGUCCCGACCUUAUUAUCAGCUAUAGCUCAACUUACACAUGCAAGUCUCCGCAUCCCAGUGAAUACGCCCUCAAUCCCCCGCCAGGGGACCAGGAGCAGGCAUCAGGCACAAAUAUUAGCCCAAGACGCCCAGCCAAGCCACACCCCCAAGGGAAUUCAGCAGUGAUAAACAUUAAGCCAUAAGUGAAAACUUGACUUAGUCAGAGCUAAUAAGGGCCGGUAAAACUCGUGCCAGCCACCGCGGUUAGACGAGAGACCCUAGUUGACAUUAUAUCGGCGUAAAGGGUGGUUAGGGCUAAAAAAUAAUAAAGCCGAAUGGCCCCUUGGCCGUCAUACGCUUCUAGGCGUCCGAAGCCCUACAUACGAAAGUAGCUUUAAUUAAACCCGCCCGACCCCACGAAAACUAAGAAACAAACUGGGAUUAGAUACCCCACUAUGCUUAGCCGUAAACUUAGACAUCCACCUACAAUAAGAUGUCCGCCAGGGUAUUACGAGCACUAGCUUAAAACCCAAAGGACCUGACGGUGUCUCAGACCCACCUAGAGGAGCCUGUUCUAGAACCGAUAAACCCCGUUUAACCUCACCACUUCUAGCCAUCCCAGCCUAUAUACCGCCGUCGUCAGCUUACCCUGUGAAGGUAAUAAAAGUAAGCAAAAUGAGUACAACCCAGAACGUCAGGUCGAGGUGUAGCGCAUGAAGUGGAUAGAAAUGGGCUACAUUUUCUAUCACAGAAUACACGAAUAUGCACCAUGAAACAGUACUUAAAGGAGGAUUUAGCAGUAAAAGGGAAACAGAGUGUCCCUUUGAAUCCGGCUCUGAGACGCGUACACACCGCCCGUCACUCUCCCCACUUUAAACGCAACAAAAUAAUUAAUAUUAUAGCACUAAUACUAGGGGAGGCAAGUCGUAACACGGUAAGUGUACCGGAAGGUGCACUUGGACCAAACC
rnacentral:ncRNA from 1 species